rnacentral:rRNA from 1 species
GAUGAACGCUGGCGGCGUGCCUAAUACAUGCAAGUCGAGCGAACAGACGAGGAGCUUGCUCCUCUGACGUUAGCGGCGGACGGGUGAGUAACACGUGGAUAACCUACCUAUAAGACUGGGAUAACUUCGGGAAACCGGAGCUAAUACCGGAUAAUAUAUUGAACCGCAUGGUUCAAUAGUGAAAGACGGUUUUGCUGUCACUUAUAGAUGGAUCCGCGCCGCAUUAGCUAGUUGGUAAGGUAACGGCUUACCAAGGCAACGAUGCGUAGCCGACCUGAGAGGGUGAUCGGCCACCCUGGAACUGAGACACGGACCAGACGCCUACGGGAGGCAGCAGUAGGGAAUCGUCCGCAAUGGGCGAAAGCUUGACGGAGCAACGCCGCGCGAGUGAUGAAGGUGUUCGGAUCGUAAAACUCUGUUACUAGUGAAGAACAAAUGUGUAAGUAACUAUGCAGGUCUUGACGGUACCUAAUCAGAAAGCCACGGCUAACUACGUG